ACAUUAUUUUACAAAGUGUUACAUUUGCCAGUGUCUGUCUUGCCUGGUAGCCUUAGCUCAAUUCCCUUGUCAGUACAAUUACAACAUUUGUAGAAUUGUUACUUCUUAUAGGAAGGCGCUGAUGGGAAUCCUGAAUGCGUUUUUUGGGACUUUGAUUUGGAAAACGGACAAGGCGACUGGUCCAACGAAGGCUGUGAUUACAACGAAACAUCCGACGGCCGUGUCGUAUGCUUCUGUGACCAUUUAACAAACUUUGCUGUUAUUUUGGAUUAUUCUGGUCAAGCCGGUCCAACCACGAGGUUUCAAGAUUCGUUGACCUACAUCAGCAUCAUAGGAUGUGUAAUAUCUAUUGUCUGCUUGGUUAUCACUAUUUUUACAUUUAUGUACUUCAAACACUUACGAGGAAAGCGCCCUCAACGGAUACUUAUUAACUUGUGUUUUUCUCUGCUGUUUCUGUAUCUAACUUUUGUCAUCGGGAUUGAGUUGACGAGUUGUCAUAAUUGCUGUAUUGUCGUGGCCAUCAUGUUGCAUUACUUCGUUCUAACGUCGCUGUCGUGGAUGCUUGUUGAAGCGAUAAAUAUGUAUCUAAAAUUUGUUUUGAUAUUUUACGAAGAAAUACGUUGUUUUAUGUUGAAGUCCGCACUCCUUGGCUGGGGUAAGUUUACCCAAGCUCAUUUCUGACUUGCACGUGUUUACGAACAGAAUAUGGUUGUAUCAAAAUUAGUACAAGUUGAAUCAUAUGAAGUAGAAAGUAUUUAUGCAUUAUAGAAAAACUAAAUGUUAUAAAUAUCUGUUUGAAGGUCUUU